GAUGAAGAACGUAGUGAAAUGCGAUAAGUAGUGUGAAUUGCAGAAUUCAGUGAAUCAUCGAAUCUUUGAACGCACAUUGCGCCCCUUGGUAUUCCAUGGGGCAUGCCUGUUCGAGCGUCAUUUGUACCUUCAAGCUUUGCUUGGUGUUGGGUGUUUGUCUCGCCUUUGCGUGUAGACUCGCCUUAAAAUAAUUGGCAGCCGGCGUAUUGAUUUCGGAGCGCAGUACGUCUCGCGCUUUGCACUCAUAACGACAGCGUCCAAAAGUACAUUUUACACUCUUGACCUCGGAUCAGGUAGGGAUACCCGCUGAACUUAAGCAUAUCAAUAAGCGGAGGA
rnacentral:misc_RNA from 1 species